GACGAACGCUGGCGGCGUGCUUUACACAUGCAAGUCGAACGGGAUCAGCCUUUUGGGGUUGGUUUAGUGGCGAACGGGUGAGUAACACGUGGGUAACCUGCCCUUGGCUUUGGGAUAAGCCCUGGAAACGGGGUCUAAUACCGAAUAUGACCUGUCACUGCAUGGUGGUGGGUGGAAAGAUUUUUUGGUCCGACGGAGUGG
rnacentral:rRNA from 1 species